rfam:Agrobacterium tumefaciens str. C58 circular chromosome, complete sequence.
UAGGCUUGCUGAAGCUCCGCAGCGGCGCCCGGGAGGUAUCCCGACACCGUAGCAAUCACGGAGCUCAA